UAUCAACCAUCAAGCCCGGCUUGUCAUUGGACCUCCGCCGUCGAACGACGGGCGGGUCUCAAAGAUAGUGACGGCGUCGCGUUGAACCCCGGAUACACCGAGCUUUUACAGCACGUGUCUUGGCGGUCAGCCGGCCCGGUCUUUAACCACCAUAUCUCAAGAUUGACCUCGGAUCAGGUAGGAAUACCCGCUGAACUUAA
rnacentral:misc_RNA from 1 species